GCUCAGAACUGGUACGGAC
rnacentral:snRNA from 1 species